rnacentral:rRNA from 1 species
AUUGAACGCUGGCGGCAUGCUUUACACAUGCAAGUCGGACGGCAGCACAGAGAAGCUUGCUUCUUGGGUGGCGAGUGGCGAACGGGUGAGUAACAUAUCGGAACGUACCGAGUAGUGGGGGAUAACUGAUCGAAAGAUCAGCUAAUACCGCAUACGUCUUGAGAGGGAAAGCAGGGGACCUUCGGGCCUUGCGCUAUUCGAGCGGCCGAUAUCUGAUUAGCUAGUUGGUGGGGUAAAGGCCUACCAAGGCGACGAUCAGUAGCGGGUCUGAGAGGAUGAUCCGCCACACUGGGACUGAGACACGGCCCAGACUCCUACGGGAGGCAGCAGUGGGGAAUUUUGGACAAUGGGCGCAAGCCUGAUCCAGCCAUGCCGCGUGUCUGAAGAAGGCCUUCGGGUUGUAAAGGACUUUUGUCAGGGAAGAAAAGGCUGUUGCUAAUAUCAGCGGCUGAUGACGGUACCUGAAGAAUAAGCACCGGCUAACUACGUGCCAGCAGCCGCGGUAAUACGUAGGGUGCGAGCGUUAAUCGGAAUUACUGGGCGUAAAGCGAGCGCAGACGGUUACUUAAGCAGGAUGUGAAAUCCCCGGGCUCAACCUGGGAACUGCGUUCUGAACUGGGUGACUAGAGUGUGUCAGAGGGAGGUAGAAUUCCACGUGUAGCAGUGAAAUGCGUAGAGAUGUGGAGGAAUGCCGAUGGCGAAGGCAGCCUCCUGGGAUAACACUGACGUUCAUGCUCGAAAGCGUGGGUAGCAAACAGG